GSYUCGGGRCUUCACUCCAAACCCCUGUGACAUACCACUUGUUGCCUCGGCGGAUCAGCCCGCUCCCGGUAAAACGGGACGGCCCGCCAGAGGACCCCUAAACUCUGUUUCUAUAUGUAACUUCUGAGUAAAACCAUAAAUAAAUCAAAACUUUCAACAACGGAUCUCUUGGUUCUGGCAUCGAUGAAGAACGCAGCAAAAUGCGAUAAGUAAUGUGAAUUGCAGAAUUCAGUGAAUCAUCGAAUCUUUGAACGCACAUUGCGCCCGCCAGUAUUCUGGCGGGCAUGCCUGUUCGAGCGUCAUUUCAACCCUCAAGCACAGCUUGGUGUUGGGACUCGCGUUAAUUCGCGUUCCUCAAAUUGAUUGGCGGUCACGUCGAGCUUCCAUAGCGUAGUAGUAAAACCCUCGUUACUGGUAAUCGUCGCGGCCACGCCGUUAAACCCCAACUUCUGAAUGUUGACCUCGGAUCAGGUAGGAAUACCCGCUGAACUUAAGCAUAUCAAUAAGCCGGAGGAAAGGAGUGUGACAUCGCACAAUAAU
rnacentral:rRNA from 1 species